rnacentral:rRNA from 1 species
GAGUAAUGCGUGACCAACCUCGCCCCACUGCUCCAGAAUAGCUCUUGGGAAACGGGGUGGUAAUGCUGGAUGCUCCAACUUGACGCAUGUCUUGUUGGGAAAGUGUUUAGUGGCAUGGGAUGGGGUCGCGUCCUAUCAGCUUGUAGGCGGGGUAAUGGCCCACCUAGGCUUCGACGGGUAGCCGGCCUGAGAGGGCGGACGGCCACAUUGGGACUGAGAUACGGCCCAGACUCCUACGGGAGGCAGCAGCC